UAUUGCACAAUGGGCGCAAGCCUGAUGCAGCCAUGCCGCGUGUAUGAAGAAGGCCUUCGGGUUGUAAAGUACUUUCAGUUGUGAGGAAGGGUGUGUAGUUAAUAGCUGCACAUCUUGACGUUAGCAACAGAAGAAGCACCGGCUAACUCCGUGCCAGCAGCCGCGGUAAUACGGAGGGUGCGAGCGUUAAUCGGAAUUACUGGGCGUAAAGCGCAUGCAGGUGGUUCAUUAAGUCAGAUGUGAAAGCCCGGGGCUCAACCUCGGAACUGCAUUUGAAACUGGUGAACUAGAGUACUGUAGAGGGGGGUAGAAUUUCAGGUGUAGCGGUGAAAUGCGUAGAGAUCUGAAGGAAUACCAGUGGCGAAGGCAGCCCCCUGGACAGAUACUGACACUCAGAUGCGAAA
rnacentral:rRNA from 1 species